ensembl:lncRNA
AGCUCUCUCAGCCUGUCCUCACAGCAUCUCGGUGGCCUCCUCUGGCCCUGCUCCAACGGGUCCAUGUCCUUCUGCUGUUGGUGGCCCCAGAGCUGGAGGCAGCACUUGGUGGGGGGGAUCUCCCCAGAGCAAAGCAGAGGGGGAGAAUCCCCUCCCUCAACCUUCUGGCCACUCUUCUUCUGAUGCAGCCCAAGAUGCGGGAGGCUUUCUCAGCUACCAGCACACACUGCUGGGCCACGUGGAGCUUUUCACCCCCCAACACUCCCAAGUCCUUCUCCUCGGGGCUGGUCUCCAUCCCUUCACCCCCCAGCCUGGAUUUGUGCUCAGGAUUGCCCUGACCCACCUGCAGGACCUUGCUCUUGGCCUGGUUGAACUUCCUGAGAUUCACAUGAGGUUCACCUCAAGCCUGUCCGGGUCCUUCUGGAUGCCAUCCCGUCCCUCCAGCAUGUUGACCCCCCUCUACUUCUUGAGGUGGGGUGGAACACAGAGGACACUCUUUCUCCCUGACAGGACCUGGCUGAGGUGUGCAAGCGGGACGGCGCCGAGCGGGACGGGAAGGACGUGGACCGGGUGGUGGGCUUGGGCAGCUCCAGCGGCAGCGCCGGCCGGGUGAUGCUCUCCAAGGAGGACAAGGAGGCGGCCAAGAUGGGGCUCUCCAUCUUCACGCACCAGAAAGUCUCCAGCAGCCCCGAGAUGUCCAGCUCCAAGAAGAAGCAGGAGAAGGAGGAGAAGGUGGAGGAGAAACGACCGGAGAGCGGCAAGAAAUCCAAAAAGGAGAAGAAGAAAAAGAAGAAGAAGAAACACAAGAAGGAGAAGAAGAAGGACAAGCACCACAAGAGGGAUGCUUCCCCCUCGUCUUCCGAUUCUUCUCCGGAGCGGGAUGAGAGGCACCACCGAAGGAAAACCCAGCAGCGCCCCAAGACCUCGCGUCACGGCGGGCGGCGGCGGCGGCACGACACGGAUUCCUCUGCCAGCAGCCGGGAUUCGGGCCGGAGCCCCUCGCCCCGUCCUGCCCGUCGGAGGAGCCGGAGCCGCGACGGCCGCGGUCACCACCCGUCCCCGCGCCGCAAGGGGAGGAAGAGGAGCAGGAGCCGGUCCCCUCCGUCCCGCGGGGUCCGACAACGCCACGACACCGAUUCCGAGGACUGAGAGGGAACCUACGGAGCUUUGGUUUGGUUGGUUGGUUGGUUUGUUUUUUUUUUCCCAGAGAGAUGUCACGCAGGCUAGAUAUUUUUUUAAGGUUAUUAAAUUAAAAACGCCGCAGCUUUGCGGUUGCCGGGGUUGAGCCCAGCGAAGGGCAUUCGGUUUUGCGGUGCCAGCUGCCCCUCCCCUGCCCGCAGCUCUUGCUCUUCAAGCUGGGGUGGCACCAGCAGCUCCCGCCGGGGGUGGGUCCCAUCCGUGGAGGCACCCGGGCACCCUUCUCGCUUCCUGGAUCCAUCCAUCCCGGUGGGAUUUAGCUCGGAGGACGGUGUGAGGUGGGUGCUGGCGCUGGGACGGGCCCGGCUGCGACGCUGGAAAUGCUGCGGAUGCCUCGGGUUUGUGUAAAGAGACUUUGGAUGCAGUUAUUAUGAUGAUGAUGAUGAUGAGUUUUUUUAAGUAUCUUCUUUCAGUGCCCUCGAGCAGCUGCCAGCGAAGCAGCUGGAGGGGACCUUCUUUCCUCCAAACCCUCCCUGAAGUCCAUCAGCCGCAAAAUAAAACCGGGGGUUUGUGCGCUGCCGGGAGGGUU